AUACGUAGGGGGCGAGCGUUGUCCGGAAUGAUUGGGCGUAAAGGGCGCGUAGGCGGCGCGGUAAGUCUGGAGUGAAAGUCCUGCUUUCAAGGUGGGAAUUGCUUUGGAUACUGCCGCGCUUGAGUGCAGGAGAGGUUAUCGGAAUUCCCGGUGUAGCGGUGAAAUGCGUAGAGAUCGGGAGGAACACCAGUGGCGAAGGCGGGUAACUGGACUGCAACUGACGCUGAGGCGCGAAAGUGUGGGGAGCAAACAGGAUUAGAGACCCUGGUAGUCCACACUGUAAACGAUGAAUGCUAGGUGUAAGAGGUAUCGACCCCUUUUGUGCCGGAGUCAACACAAUAAGCAUUCCGCCUGGGGAGUACGGCCGCAAGGUUGAAACUCAAAGGAAUUGGCGGGG
rnacentral:rRNA from 1 species